GCGGGUUAAUCAGGUCGGGAACCGUAUUGUAGGCUUUUGCCAACGAAUUGAUAGACAAGUUCGCCGUCGUAUUGUAAUCCUGCUGGAAUACGCGAACGACUUCACUCUUACUGUUGUCCUUCUUAUAAGUCAGCUUUCCUACCAAAUAGAACGUUCCGCCUUCGGGAACCAAAUUGCCGUCUAAACCGUAGAAUUGAGGACCGUCAUUCAAGACCUCCAAAGCAAUAUUGGGUGUAUGUCCCAAAUCUUCUGCAUUACCGGUAGAACAAUCGGCCGUCUCGGGCAAUAAGCUGUAUAUAAAUGGAGUCAUACCAGCAAAAUCGGGAGUAGCGGCUUUCGUCAAUUCGUAAUCAUUGGUAUUCAUUCUGUUGUCAUAUACAAUCUUGGAAUAAGUGUCGGCAGCAGAAGGAUGCAUUUCCCAAUCCAGUUUAUCGGGCAGACCGCCAAUCAAUAUACCUUUUACAACAAAAUUAUGGUUGGCCAAAGUCACCUUAGUAUUUUUACCGGCCGGAACUGUACCGUCGGCCGAUUUGAAUGCAGCUUUCACAUCGAGACGUGCCACACCGUAAUUGAUCGUUUUGUUCAAAGCAAUCUUCGUCGUCGCUACCGUAAUCGGCGUACGAGCUCCGUUAAACGAGGGACCCGGUGAAAUUGAAGUACCUGUGAAGAUGCAGGUUACCCGCGACUGGACAGAAAGACCCCAUGGAGCUUUACUGCAACCUGACAUUGAUGUUCGGUAAAUAACGUACAGGAUAGGUGGGAGACGGAGAAGUAUUGGCGUUAGCUGAUAUGGAGUCAACCUUGGGAUACCACCCUUUAUUUAUUGGACCUCUAACUGAAGAAGUAACGACUCUCAGGACAGUAUCAGGCGGGCAGUUUGACUGGGGCGGUCGCCUCCCAAAAUGUAACGGAGGCGCCCAAAGGUUCCCUCAGCGCGAACGGAAACCGCGCAAAGAGUGUAAAGGCAGAAGGGAGCUUGACUGCGAGUCAGACACGACGAGCAGGUACGAAAGUAGGGCUUAGUGAUCCGGUGGUUCCGAGUGGAAGGGCCAUCGCUCAACGGAUAAAAGCUACCCUGGGGAUAACAGGCUAAUCUCUCCCAAGAGUCCAUAUCGACGGGGAGGUUUGGCACCUCGAUGUCGGCUCAUCACAUCCUGGGGCUGGAGCAGGUCCCAAGGGUUGGGCUGUUCGCCCAUUAAAGUGGUACGUGAGCUGGGUUCAGAACGUCGUGAGACAGUUCGGUCCAUAUCCAUCGCGGGCGUAAGAGACUUGAAGGGGGCUGCUCCUAGUACGAGAGGACCGGAGUGGACGGACCAAUGGUGUACCAAUUAUCCCGCCAGGGGUACAGUUGGGUAGCUACGUCCGGAAAAGAUAAACGCUGAAAGCAUCUAAGCGUGAAACUUGCCUUAAGAUGAGGUCUCCCGAAGCGAAAGCUUGAAAGACACCUUGAAGAUGACGAGGUUGAUAGGCCAGGAGUAGAAGUUCAGUAAUGAAUGUAGCGUACUGGUACUAAUAUGUCGAGAGCUUAACUU
rnacentral:rRNA from 1 species